rnacentral:rRNA from 1 species
UNUGACUUGAGUGCAGAAGGGGAGAGUGGAAUUCCAUGUGUAGCGGUGAAAUGCGUAGAUAUAUGGAGGAACACCAGUGGCGAAAGCGGCUCUCUGNUCUGUCACUGACGCUGAGGCUCGAAAGCGUGGGUAGCGAACAGGAUUAGAUACCCUGGUAGUCCACGCCGUAAACGAUGAGUGCUAGGUGUUAGGCCCUUUCCGGGGCUUAGUGCCGGAGCUAACGCAAUAAGCACUCCGCCUGGGGAGUACGACCGCAAGGUUGAAACUCAAAGGAAUUGACGGGGGCCCGCACAAGCGGUGGAGCAUGUGGUUUAAUUCGAAGCAACGCGAAGAACCUUACCAGGUCUUGACAUCCCGAUGCUAUUCUUAGAGAUAGGAAGUUACUUCGGUACAUCGGAGACAGGUGGUGCAUGGUUGUCGUCAGCUCGUGUCGUGAGAUGUUGGGUUAAGUCCCGCAACGAGCGCAACCCUUAUUGUUAGUUGCCAUCAUUAAGUUGGGCACUCUAGCGAGACUGCCGGUAAUAAACCGGAGGAAGGUGGGGAUGACGUCAAAUCAUCAUGCCCCUUAUGACCUGGGCUACACACGUGCUACAAUGGUCGGUACAACGAGUUGCGAGCCGGUGACGGCAAGCUAAUCUCUGAAAGCCGAUCUCAGUUCGGAUUGGAGGCUGCAACUCGCCUCCAUGAAGUCGGAAUCGCUAGUAAUCGCGGAUCAGCACGCCGCGGUGAAUACGUUCCCGGGCCUUGUACACACCG